rnacentral:rRNA from 1 species
UUGGGUUAAGUCCCGCAACGAGCGCAACCCUUGUCCAUAGUUGCCACCAUUCAGUUGGGCACUCUAUGGAGACCGCCGGUGACAAAUCGGAGGAAGGUGGGGACGACGUCAAGUCAUCAUGGCCCUUAUGACCAGGGCUACACACGUGCUACAAUGGCCAGUACAAAGGGUUGCCAACCCGCGAGGGGGAGCUAAUCCCAGAAAGCUGGUCGUAGUCCAGAUCGGAGUCUGCAACUCGACUCCGUGAAGCCGGAAUCGCUAGUAAUCGCAAAUCAGCAUUGUUGCGGUGAAUACGUUCCCGGGUCUUGUACACACCGCCCGUCACACCAUGGAAGUUGGUUGCACCAGAAGUAGGUAGCCUAACCGCAAGGAGGGCGCUUACCACUGGUGUGGCUAUGAUUGGGGUGAAGUCGUAACAAGGUACCA